rnacentral:rRNA from 1 species
AGUUUGAUCCUGGCUCAGGACGAACGCUGGCGGCGUGCCUAACACAUGCAAGUCGAGCGGAGUUAUUUGGAGGAAGUUUUCGGAUGGAAUUCNUGUAACUUAGCGGCGGACGGGUGAGUAACGCGUGAGCAACCUGCCUUUCACAGGGGGAUAAGGCGGCGAAAGCCGCUCUAAUACCGCAUGAGACCACGGUGAUGAUGUCACAGGGGUCAAAGGAGCAAUCCGGUGAAAGAUGGGCUCGCGUCCGAUUAGGUAGUUGGUGGGGUAACGGCCCACCAAGCCAAUGAUCGGUAGCCGGCCUGAGAGGGUGAACGGCCACAUUGGAACUGAGACACGGUCCAAACUCCUACGGGAGGCAGCAGUGGGGAAUAUUGGGCAAUGGGGGAAACCCUGACCCAGCAACGCCGCGUGAGGGAAGAAGGUUUUCGGAUUGUAAACCUCUGUUCUUGGGGAAGAGUAGAAGACGGUACCCAAGGAGGAAGCCCCGGCUAACUACGUGCCAGCAGCNGCGGUAAUACGUAUGGGGCGAGCGUUGUCCGGAAUGAUUGGGCGUAAAGGGCGCGUAGGCGNCCUAUCNNGUCAGUAGUGGAAGUCCAUCUUUCNNGGAUGGAAGUGCUACCNAANC